UACGUAGGUGGCAAGCGCUAUCCGGAUUUACUGGGUGUAAAGGGCGUGUAGGCGGGAGAGCAAGUCAGACGUGAAAUUCCAGGGCUCAACCCUGGAACUGCGUUUGAAACUGUUCUUCUUGAGUGAUGGAGAGGCAGGCGGAAUUCCGUGUGUAGCGGUGAAAUGCGUAGAUAUACGGAGGAACACCAGUGGCGAAGGCGGCCUGCUGGACAUUAACUGACGCUGAGGCGCGAAAGCGUGGGGAGCAAACAGG
rnacentral:rRNA from 1 species